rnacentral:rRNA from 1 species
UACGAAGGGUGCAAGCGUUACUCGGAAUUACUGGGCGUAAAGCGUUCGUAGGCGGUUUGUUAAGUCCGUUGUGAAAGCCCUGGGCUCAACCUGGGAAUUGCAGUGGAUACUGGCGCUGAGUGCGGUAGAGGAUGGUGGAAUUCCCGGUGUAGCGGUGAAAUGCGUAGAGAUCGGGAGGAACACCCGUGGCGAAGGCGGCCAUCUGGACCAGCACUGACGCUGAG